GGCUUUCCGUGUUCCUACACCCGAUGUCUCUGUUGUUGAUUUGACUGUUAACCUCGCCAAGGAAACCUCUUAUGAUGAAAUUAAGCAAGUCAUCAAGAAGGCCUCUGAAGGUCCCAUGAAGGGUAUUCUUGGUUACACUGAAGAUGCUGUUGUCUCUACUGAUUUCGUAGGUGAACCUCACAGCAGUGUCUUUGAUGCUGCUGCUGGUAUCCAAC
rnacentral:misc_RNA from 1 species